rnacentral:ncRNA from 1 species
GCACGCGCGCUACACUGACCGGAUCAGCGUGUGCUCUCCUUGGCCGACAGGUCCGGGAAACCCGUUGAACCCCGGUCGUGCUAGGGAUAGGGAAUUGCAAUUAUUUCCCUUGAACGAGGAAUUCCCAGUAAGCGCGAGUCAUUAGCUCGCGUUGAUUACGUCCCUGCCCUUUUGUACACACCGCCCGUCGCUACUACCGAUUGAAUGGUUUAGUGAGGUCCUCCGAUUGGACCCGGUCCGGGCGGCGACGUCCGAGCCGGCGUCCGAGAAGACGAUCUAACUUGAUCAUUUAGAGGAAGUAAAAGUCGUAACAAGGUUUCCGUAGGUGAACCUGCGGAAGGAUCAUUA